UGUAUGCCGGCUUGGUUCUGGGGGGAGCAUUGUGGCAAACCUAGCCACUUCUGGACACUUAGGGUGAAUAUUUUGUUAACUGUUGCUAUGCUCAUUUUAUAUGCAGUGUGUAGCAUUCGUCUGAAUAUUAUAUCAGUUAUAGUUUUUUAUGUAAAACUGUAUAUUUUGCUGUAUGGAGAGAUAAUGUGAUUAACAGUACAUUCUUGCACAAUU